CUGAAUGCAAGGGUGGAGAAGAAUUCAAGACCCUUAGCAACAAGUUGCAGGCAAGGAAAACGUUUGUUAGUCACAAAGAAGUUGUUUCAGCAGUUCCUAGCCUCGAUAAGUAUCUCGUGAAACAUGUCUCGCGGUUUGAAAGAGAGAAGCUGAUGUCUUCCCAUGAAUCUGAAAAUCAGAACAAAAGUUCUCUAUCACGUCGUGAAGCUAGGGAGAAAGACCUACGGUCACCCUGGGGAAGCUUAAGUUUGGGAGAUUCCAUUAGACCUCAUCUCUCCAAACUUGAACGAGACAAGGCUGCCUGGAUCAAAGCUGAAGAGGAGCAAAGGAAGUUCUGAACAAAGUGUAAUCACUCCUCCACCGAAGAAAAAAAUGUACAUUGCUUGCCCUAUAUAUACACACAUCAAGUGUUUUUUACAUUAUGCAUUAAAUCUGAAAUGUCCACUGCCUUAAGUUAUGAUAGCAUAUUGCUAUUCUG